rnacentral:misc_RNA from 1 species
AGCUGGGUGUGUGUUGCGUUUCGUGGGUCUUUGCCCGUUGCUGUGUUUCAUGGCCUUGUGGGGCAGGUGGGUUACUGUAAAGAUUGUUGUGGCGGUUGGUUGGGUCCGCGCGUUGGGGCGCCCUUUGCGGGCUCGGCGUUCGGUGGCUUAUGGCGGUGGCUGCGGGCUUUUUUGGUUGUGCGUUCGGGGUGGAGGGGUUUUUUUGGGGCGGUGGUGUCGGGCGGGGCUCGCGGCGGUUGGGGGGGGGGUUCCGCGGAUAACCCCUGGCGGCCGCCGCCCUUGGAGGCGGAGGUGAAAAGGCCCCUGCCCGAGUGGCCAGGGGGGUGGUUUGCGAAGGGGGAAGCGGGCUGGCGGAAGUUUCGGCCCUUUUUCGUGCACCGUCUGGCUCGCUUUCGGAAUGUCGUGUGUGUGAGUGUGCGGCUUGGGGGAGCAGAUCCCCGCACGGAUGGCACCGUUCGUACGUCAUGGGGGGGGCGGUGCCGUCAGAGUUUUAUGUGGUGAAGUAGCGGCUCGCCUUGCGUGACCGUUCUUGUCGACGCUCUUUGGGAGGAUCUCGAGUGUGAUGCUGGGCCGUUUGGCGCGCGUGGCGCCACGGGGGAAGGCAAUAGAAUCCACCUUUGCACCUUCAUCGAGCAAGGGCGUCCGUGCGAAAAGAAAAACAAGUGUGUCUGUCAUUCCCACUCUUGGAUCAUUUGAGCGCAACUUUUCGGCGCUGUUUGUCCUUCUUUCUUUCUUUCCUCCUCUCUCUUUAAG